rnacentral:lncRNA from 1 species
UCUAAUCUAUUUUUUCUGACUCCGCCAACUGCGAGGCGACUGGGGCUUUGAACAGGCACCAGGACCCAAGCAAGCGGAGCGGAUGCAAGUGCGAGGAAACGGGGAGGGACGUUGGAGUGGAGACUAGAGAGGGGCGAGCGAAGGAGACGGGCGCGGCAGGUCCGGCGAGAAGUUGCUGACAAGCGACGCGCAGCGGCUCAGAUAUUCCGUGUUUGUAGCGAAAUCGAGAACCCUUAACCGUCGCCUGUCAACCCAACUACCAAACAGUUAACACGAUCCUAUUAUUUGGAUAACCGAGAGAUGUAACGAUCCGCGCAUUGUUCUCUCUUUCCCUUCUCAUCAGUUAUGCCCUCUCUUCUAUUUAAACGCAUUGGUUUCUGAUGUUGAGAACUUGAGAUUCAGGGUGACAAUACUGUGAAUUCCCGGCGAACAAGAUCUCCAUUUUGACAUUCCGCAUUGAGCACACUGCUGGAGUGUUAGAUAUGGAUAGAAGACAGGCAACCAUGUGCACUCUCUUACUAAUCGUGUUACUUGGUAAUUUUGCUUCCGCGGCAGGUUCGUGCUUCGGAUCUACGUUUAUCUGACCAUACAGUACUAGUAUUAGGAUUGUGUUUAUUUGAUCACAAACUACAGGCGCGUGGUGGAAUUUGUGUAUUUGACGUGAUUUUCUUCUUCCCCUCUGUUCAAUUAAUAUGAUUCUUCGCAACUGUGGUUAAACAUGAUGCGUUUGUAAUGCGUGUUACUAAUGUGUGUGUAAAUUUGCUUGCACAGACGACGACUAUUGCUGGGAAGAAUAUAACGACAGUGCACUUUGCUUUGGUUUCGUCUGCAAGGCAGAGUGCUGGCUGAACGCGAAACUAUUUGCGGGCAAAAAACCAAGUCUCAAGAGAUAUACGUGUACAGGAUCAAAACUGAAACACCGUUGUCACUGCUUUUAUUGUAUACCGUGGUCCAACUAGAAAGAUAGCAGGUCUCGUGUUCUUUUAUUGUUUCAAAUCUUACCAUCAUGUUUACCAGUAUAGUCAAUGCUAUCACCGUGGACAGUGUCUGUAGUACUGUCACAGUAGGAAUAAGCAAUAGAAGUUAGUAGUUCUUCCGUUACUCUAUGUAUUUGCCAGUUGUCCUUUUGAGCUUCGGUGGUACCACUGAUAAUUUAGUUUUGCUUCGAUUAAUACGUUGUGUUGUCGUUCCUUUUGCUCCGGAUCUCAUUAACUUUAAUGACGUUGAGUUACUUGCUUUAUAAUUGGACAUACGAAGUCUUUCAUUCAAUUUGUGUACCACGUUAGAGCAUCUCCAACGGCACCGUAAAAAAUCCGCGCCCAAUAAAAAUUUUAGCGCGUCACUGUAGCAGUUUUGAAGUGCGGGGACCGGAGCAUCUCCAACAGACGCGCGCUAGUGUGACGCCCAAUCCAGUCCGAUCCAGCGGUCCCAUCUGCAGCCGUUCAGAGUUUGUUGCGCGCGCAAGCCGGCGCACCAAAUAUGCUGCGCGCGAUAGCGUUUUUGAGCGCGCGCCCAAAAGUUUUUAGCGCGCGCAACGUUUUGCAGCUUCUGCUGAAGCAGUCCGACGCCCAAAAAACGAAUCUUUUAGCGCGCGGAGCAGUUUUUGGACGCUCUUAGAACAUCUCCAACCGGACUGCAAAUAUGGUCCCUAAAUAGACAGGAACCAGUUACCCCUUUAUGAUCGCCCGUGCAAUCUGAUCCUCUAUGUACAAACCUUAAAUCCAUACAAAUAAAUGCAUGUCGAUUGAUCAUUCAUUCACACAAAUAAACAUAAAAAUGCAUGUAAACACAUUUUUUUAUCCAAAUAGAAAAUACACAGUUGGAAAAUAAAAUUUAUUCGAAGUGCGUAAUUCAAAGCUAAAAUUCAAUGAUUUUCAAUGUGGAGCCACAUAUGUUCCAUAAAAUUAUUUAGUAGCUGAACAUGUGACUCUAUAUCUCAAAUUUGUGUAUGCACCUCUAGAAAGUUUACAACAUGCUAUGCAUCAUGUUUCAGGUGCGGCGUGGACCAGAAAAGAAGUGCGAGGUGGCAAGUCCGACGAGGUUUUGGGACGAUUUGGUAGGAUUUGGGAUCGGUCCAACCAGUCAGAUCCAAGGUGACAAUCUAGUUUGGAUGUGUUCGGGCAGCCCCAUGUCUGCCCUACAUAUGGGGCAUGUUUGGUUUGUUUCCUGACUAUGUUGCAUCGAUACUUGGAUACGUAUCGAAUACGUGAUAUGGGGAUACGCCCGAUACGGCAAAUUUCUAAAAACUAGAAUACGGGGAU